rnacentral:rRNA from 1 species
GACGAACGCUGGCGGCGUGCUUAACACAUGCAAGUCGAGCGGUAAGGCCCUUUCGGGGGUACACGAGCGGCGAACGGGUGAGUAACACGUGGGUGACCUGCCCUCAGCUCUGGGAUAAGCCUGGGAAACUGGGUCUAAUACUGGAUAUGACUUCACGGUGCAUGUCGUGGGGUGGAAAGCCUUGUGCGGCUGAGGAUGGGCCCGCGGCCUAUCAGCUUGUUGGUGGGGUGANGGCCUACCAAGGCGACGACGGGUAGCCGGCCUGAGAGGGCGACCGGCCACACUGGGACUGAGACACGGCCCAGACUUCUACGGGAGGCAGCAGUGGGGAAUCUUGCGCAAUGGGCGAAAGCCUGACGCAGCGACGCCGCGUGAGGGAUGACGGCCU